GAACAGAAGAGGAAGUUUGUCAUUCGAGCUUUUCUUUGGCCCCAUUAAUUACACAUCCUGCAAAUAUCACUACUGAAGUCUUGUUUAUCAUAUGCAUAUAAGAUCGGAGGAUCUUGAUGCUGAUAAUGCAUAUGCUAGACUACUUAUUUAUUAGUAGAUUUCUUUCUUGUCUUUUUCUUUUUGUUCUCUUUGGUUCUGCUAU
rnacentral:misc_RNA from 1 species